rnacentral:rRNA from 1 species
AACGAACGCUGGCGGCAGGCCUAACACAUGCAAGUCGAGCGAAGCCUUCGGGCUUAGCGGCGGACGGGUGAGUAACGCGUGGGAACGUGCCCUUUGCUACGGAAUAGCCCCGGGAAACUGGGAGUAAUACCGUAUGUGCCCUUCGGGGGAAAGAUUUAUCGGCAAAGGAUCGGCCCGCGUUGGAUUAGGUAGUUGGUGGGGUAAUGGCCGACCAAGCCGACGAUCCAUAGCUGGUUUGAGAGGAUGAUCAGCAAGACUGGGACUGAGACACGGCCCAGACUCCUACAGGAGGAAGCAGUGGGGAAUCUUCGACAAUGGGGGAAACCCUGAUCUAGCCAUGCCGCGUGAUCGAUGAAGGCCUUAGGGUUGUAAAGAUCUUUCAGUGGGGAAGAUAAUGACUGUACCCACAGAAGAAGCCCCGGCUAACUCCGUGCCAGCCGCCGCCGUAACAC